GCUGUGCCAGUUGUGUUUCGCUCCUCUGACUGGGAGGAUGGAUGGAUGGAUGGAUGGAUGGAUGGGGGAGAGAAGAGCAAGGGAUUCGGCUCAGCACCUUCAGCCUCAGCUCUGACUGUGUGAUGUUACAAGGCAGGUCAAAGUGUGAGAGAAGUGAGUGUGGAAAGGCAGAUAACCAGCAAUUUGCUGUGAGUAUGGUCACUGAAGAGGAUCAGUGGACUUGGUUUAUCCAAAGAAAAAUGCAGAGAGAGAAAACAGAGGGAGAAGGAAGCAAACAGUGCAUCACGUGAAUCAUCCAAGAAGUGGCUAAAGGAGCAGAACCAGAGAAGGAUAAAUUCAUGAAGCCAGGAGAGGGCUGCAGGAAUCUCAUUAUAAAUAUCAUAUUAAGUUGUGUACCUCAAGAAAUCCCUGACUUUUCAUCUUUAUCUCUUUCCCUCAAGUGCAUGAACAGCUGACUUGUCCUUCUGGCUGCUCUCAGGUCUUUCUGAGCCAUCACUGCCCAUCCCAUGUGCCUCCCUCUCUUCUGGCUGCACCCAGGCUGAGUUUGCUGCAAGGGAACACUGCUCAGGCGAUGGAGUAUCCAUGUCAGCCCCCCUACGGUUAAAACCAACCUUGCCCUUUGAAAGCCCCAGUUCUUCCAGUCUGGCGACUGCAUGAAAUGUGGGAUGUAUUACAUGCACUUGGCAAUAGAGGCAAACUUAGAGAAAACGGGAAAAGCAACAACAACAACAAAAAGGAAUCUUGAAAUUUGGCAGAAAAAAUGCAGUGCACAAACCCCACAGGAAUGUGAGCAUCUUUGCACAAAGCCACUUAUGGAUGCAUUCCUUAAAGGUAAUCCCUUCAGACAGAGCGAAGCUGCCAUUUCUUUGAAAGAUAUUAAAGCAGCUGUUGCUAGAACAUAGAGAAUUUCUGAGCUCUCUGUCAAGGGAUGGACAUUUGUAAUGCUAUAUCUACUUUAUUUACAGUUUGAUACCAAAUUUCCAGCUACUGAAGGUAAUUGAGACUGCAAACAAAAUCUCACUAUCCACUGAUCUGCCAAAUCAAAUUUCUUCUCCUGUUUGCAAAAAUAAGCACGGUGAAUGAAGAUGAAAGGGAAAUGUUGCUGGUUUCUUCCCUGGAGAUCGUAUUUCUUACUUGUUGCAUAACUGCUUAUUUUAGCAUCAAUCAGCCGAGCCUUUGUUGUGCAGACAAUUCUGUCCUUUUAGAGGAUUUGUGCAGUAUUGUUUCUUCCAAAAUGCCUUUUUUUUUUGUUUUUGUUAUUAGAUUUAUUUCUUCUCUUAGCAAAUGCCAACUGACAACACCCCAUCAGAGCUCUUCAUAAGUGUUACAUAAAUGUCAUACUAUGUAAACUCAGUGUUGGAUGUAUCAUAUACAUGACCUUUCUUGGAGAACCAUCCAUCAGGUGCUAUCUGAGUGUGUGUGUCACAUUUAUGUGUUUGUACACAAGCCGUGUUUAAGUGUGCAUGUAUGGUAGCCAAAAUUCUAUUAUGGAAAGUACUCAAAAUGCAGAAAUGUCUGAACUCUUCUUGUCAGUGCAACUUCAUCUACCCCCUCUCGUUGAAGCAGAACAAGACUUUAAUUUCAUGUUCAGAUACUCUUUUCCUUCUGCAUCGCUGUGUGUGCAGUGAGAUGGGCAGCAAGGGGCUCAGUGAUGCCUAUUGUUCAGCACAUGAGCCUGGGCAGAGUACAUUAUUCAGCACAUUAUUCACAUGUCUGACCACUUUUGGAUUUCACAGCGAUAGAAAACACAGUUCAAAUACUUCUCGAUGCAGUUUUCAAAGCAGAGCAAGGUGCUGAUGUUCUGGAUGGCAAAAAUGCAUUGAGGUUGCAUCUAGGCAUGCUGUGGACCUGCCCUGCCAUGCUGUGACCUUCCUAAGAGAUGUUGUCCAGAAAUCAUGGAGAAAUUGCCUCAGAGGGUGGGAAGGCUGCAGUGUGCAGUACAGGACCAGAGCAGGGGGACCUGCAGGUUCCUCAAAAGACACAGUUAUAAAUGUCCUCAUGGUUCUUUCUACAGCACUUUCCACUACACUGCCUCAGUGCUUCAGCACCUUCAUUAAUCCUCCCCAAACGCCCGUUUUGAAGAUGGGUCAGGGUGACACAUGGAUGGAUUAAGGUCAGUUUUGACUAAUUCAGGGUACUCCAUCUGAAAAGCAUAAUGUCUGCUUUUUCGGAGCAUUUAACAUGAUACAGCACUUCACACAUGCAAGCACAGCACCCACUGCUUCCAGCUGCACGAAGAUGGAUGUCAGCAAUUCAGGCUAAAGGUUUCCAGCCACGCACCCGCAGUGUGGGCACUGCAGCCACCAGCAGCCAAAAGUUUGGGUUAAGGACUUUGUUAGCAUCAUACAGCCUGUGGCAAGGGCAUGGAGAGAAUCUGCUUCUUUGGGAGAGUUUUGUCCUAUUGUCACAGUCUUUCUGAGUCUCACAGCCCUUGCAUUGCUCCUUGGGCAGUUUAUGGUUCUGCAGAUAAGAUGAGGAUCUGGCCAAAGUGUUUUCUUUUUGACUUACACAGCAGGUCCAGGGUGUGCAGGUGUUGUAAGGAAAUCAGACUGGGGCAGUGUAAUUAACAACUGCAUUACAGUAUCUGUGCACAAUAAAAU